rnacentral:rRNA from 1 species
CGGGCGAGGCGCCGGUCUAAGUCCCUUGGAACGGGGCGUCAUAGAGGGUGAGAAUCCCGUAUGCGACCGGUGACUGAGUCCAUGUGAAACCCCUUCGACGAGUCGAGUUGUUUGGGAAUGCAGCUCAAAAUGGGUGGUAAAUUUCAUCUAAAGCUAAAUACCGGCCAGAGACCGAUAGCGCACAAGUAGAGUGAUCGAAAGAUGAAAAGCACUUUGGAAAGAGAGUCAAACAGUACGUGAAAUUGUUGAAAGGGAAGCGCUUGCAACCAGACCUGCCCGCGGGUGAUCAACCGUCCUUCUGGGCGGUGCACUUGCCCGUGAUCAGGCCAGCAUCGGUUCGGGCGGCCGGAUAAAGGCCUUGGGAACGUAGCUCCUCUCGGGGAGUGUUAUAGCCCUCGGUGUAAUGCGGCCAGCCUGGACCGAGGACCGCGCUUCGGCUAGGAUGCUGGCGUAAUGGUUGUAAGCGGCCCGUCUUGAAACACGGACCAAGGAGUCUAACAUCUAUGCGAGUGUUUGGGUGUCAAACCCAUACGCGUAAUGAAAGUGAACGGAGGUGGGAACCCCUUUCGGGGCGCACCAUCGACCGAUCCAGAUGUCUUCGGAUGGAUUUGAGUACGAGCAUAGCUGUUGGGACCCGAAAGAUGGUGAACUAUGCCUGAAUAGGGUGAAGCCAGAGGAAACUCUGGUGGAGGCUCGCAGCGGUUCUGACGUGCAAAUCGAUCGUCAAAUUUGGGCAUAGGGGCGAAAGACUAAUCGAACCAUC